GACGUAGGGCGCGAGCGUUGUCCGGAUUUAUUGGGCGUAAAGAGCUCGUAGGCGGCUCGUUGCGUCGGCUGUGAAAACCCGCAGCUCAACUGUGGGCUUGCAGCUGAUACGGGCGGGCUGGGAUUCGGUAGGGGAGACUGGAAUUCCUGGUGUAGCGGUGAAAUGCGCAGAUAUCGGGAGGAACACCGGUGGCGAAGGCGGUUCUCUGGGCCUUACCUGACGCUGAGGAGCGAAAGCGUGGGGAGCGAACAGG
rnacentral:rRNA from 1 species